rnacentral:misc_RNA from 1 species
GGCUCAGGUUCCACUGAUUUAAAAAGGACUUCUUUCUCUCUGCCGUAUUCGGAAAAAAGUAAAAGGAGACAGGAUGCGGACUCUAAUUCUAUGUGUGACGGUUGUAGGAAUUUUUGGACAGUUUACUGACAAAACGCGAACACCCGGCGAGAAGGGCUCGGCCGUGGUAGAAGCAGUAGUUAACCUUAUUAAAAAUUCUUGUAUCUUUCCGAAUGACCGAAUGUACCUAAGAAGAUUAGCCUAUGUAGAAACAAACGAUGGACUUGCUUUGAAUACGUACAGACCCGGGUACAAUGGUGGAAUCUGGCAGGUUGAUGAAGCCCAGUUUUUACUUACGAAGCAAACUGGAGUUCUUAGCAAUGAAAAACAGCAACUGAAGACCAUGGGGAUAGACUGGUCCAGGGUGACAUGGCAAGAUCUCAGAAAACCCCUGUUCUCUGGUAUAGCGGCAGCUAUGUACGCUACAAUUCAAUCUGGAGCCGGAGGAGUUCCGAACGGCAUCGAAUACCAGGCCGUCUUCUGGAAAAACACGACCAGACCAUUACAGGAAGUUAAUGUGUUCUACAAAGGAGCACAAAAACUGGAGACUGGCUGCUCCCAGAAGAACAAUCUUGAUAUUGCCUUCAUUGUGGACUCCUCAGCCUCAUUAUCAAGCCAGGAUUUUGAAGACACAAAAAUGUUCAUCAGAAGCGUUUUAGGCAAAUUUGAUAUUGGUCUUAACAAAACUAGAGUUGCUCUUAUAAAAUACAGGUAUUGUUUUUUUUUUUUUCAAAAUAAAGAGAAUUGGAAAAAGAAUUAUUUUCAAACCAAAUCGAAAGUAAACGCUCAAGUGAACAUGCAACCGAUGUGUCAGAUUGCGUGGUUCCCAUUUUAUGAAUUUCUAAAUUAACCGAACAAUGGAUUUAAAAGUUAUCUCUCUUAUGUCUUCGGAAAGCAUGACAUCCAAUCUCUCUGAAGAGGGCUGGAUGAUCGGGAUUAGCUUUAGACUAUAUUUUUCUCCUUAAGAAGAAAAAGAGCUUUGUAUAAAUAUACAGAAAAUUUUCAAAUUUUCAAAUUGUCUGCCAUUAUAAUAUUUAAUUUUUUUUUUUUACCAAAUAAAAGUUUAAAGCUUAAAAAAUCAUAUCUAAAAAUUUAAUGAUGGCUUAUUUGUUGACCGCCCAGCCUCGUUAUAACUUUUUUUUCCGUUUACUAUCUACAGUAUUCUUGUCUAUUGCAGUACUUCUGUUACCGAGGAAUUCAAACUGAAUACCUUCGAUUCCAAUGCUGCCACAGACAAAGCCGUGGAGGCUGUGCGCUUCAAUGGCGGCGGCACCAAAACUGAUGCAGCGAUUCAGUACGCCGUGGACAACAUCUUCCCGAUAUCUGACGGCGGUCGGCUUGGCUCAGUGAAGGUCAUCAUAUUGAUCACUGACGGUAGAUCAGAGAACAAGCUGAAAACCCUGGCCGCCGCAGUGAACGCCAAGAACAGCGGGAUCAACAUUUACACAAUCGGCGUCACGCCUCUGGUCGAUUCGACAGAACUGAAUGGUGUGGCGAGUCAGCCGACCUGUACCCAUGUAGAACUCCUUAACAACUUCAAUGACCUGGACUCCCUGAAAUCCGAAAUUGAACAAGUCUCAUGCACAGCUCCUGUUGUUCUUACGCAAAACCCCACUGCGUACACCUUCCCGUGCGGUUCCCCACUGAAUGUACAAGUAUUCCCCAACGUCCAGGAUGGUUCAACAGUCAAAGUGACAGUGACAGAGGGGACUGUGACAAUCUAUGGGUCUACCAAUACUCAGGCCAGCUCUGUCUUCAAUGAGUUCCAGCGUUUGGCCGCCAUUAACAGGUCUAUGUCAUUCUACAUCAAGGGAAAGAACGCCAUCUCUCUGUCAUUUGUCAGCAAUUUGCCGACUUCCUGCAAAUCCAACUUUCAGGUGAAAGUUACACAAGGAGCAAAUCUUACACCAGACAGUCAAGCUCUUUGUAUUGAAAACAGCAUCGUCAAGAACUGCUCUACCACAACUCUGUUCCACAGUCCAUUCCUCAUCAUGGCACCAGUCCCCGGGUUUAACAGUCCCUGUUCCUCCCUGAUCGGACAUGUUCAGAUCUUUCCCUACAGACCAAUCAACGACCGCUUCAUUUACUGCGACGACAAAGGCAAUGCGUUUGUUGUUCACUGUCCACUAGAUUUCGUCUAUAUCGCAUCUUAUCAGACCUGUGUGCCAGGAUCGCUGUACGUAGCAACCACAACCACAACUACCACCCCUGUGGUCACUCAGAGCACUGCCAGAACCACCAGACCAACCCCACCCACCACCACUGCCGCCCCAGUCACAAUCAGUCCAAGCCCCAGCCCCGGCACCGUUCAGAACCCCUGUACCCCCGAAAACAUCAUCAACAAUCACAUGUUCUUCCCUUAUCCCGGUAACAAUCAAGCUUACAUCGAAUGUUACAACUUGCCCUAUGUUGCAUCCGUCAAGCUGUGUCCAGAGCAUCACUACUGGUCGCAGAAAUACCUCACCUGUUUGUACAGUGACGUGGUGAUUCUGAACCCUACCCCAACCACCGAAUCUUACCACACUAACGCCGCCAAUCCCUGUAAUUCCCUGCCCAACGUUUAUUUCUACGCCAUCCCUAACGAGCCUACCAAGUAUAUCCAUUGCGACGAUUUUGGUGAUGCAUUUGAGAAAACGUGUCCGGACAAUAAAGUGUGGAACGAGGACGUGUUGCAGUGUGUGCCCCGGGGACUUGUCAUAUACGACACUGCUAAACCCCCGGUCGUCGGGUAGUUCUUGUGUACAAGUAGCAAAACGAAUUAUUGUAACAAGAUUCGAUUGUCCAUUUGCCUUAAUUAGCACAAAAUCAAUUUUUUUGCUUUUUUAUACAUUUAUGUAAUUUUUAAUUAAAUUUCCAAAUUAUUUUAAGGAUUUUGUUAUCAUGAUUAAUUGGAUAAGGAUGGAAAGGAAUAAAAGAGUGUAUCCA